AGUUGACUCGAGGAUACAAAAGUGUCUAUCCUGUAACCUUCCUCAGAAUCAUCAUCAUCAGUUUCUGGUCUGGGUCUGUGGGUGUGACAACCAACGUGUUCUUCACAAAUCAGUCAGUGGUCCCUAACGUUACAGAUAUAGUGGAAUCCCUCAAGACAUCCAUCAACAUGGACAAGGUUUUCUUAGAUGUUAUUCCUGGCAGUAUCGAAGCUGAACUCCGGAACUUGCCGACCACUGCUACGACUAGUGCUACGACCACUGCUACGACCACUGCUACGACUACUGCUACAACUACUGCAACCACCACGACAAUGACACCAGCAGCAGCCACGAAAACUACAGAGUGUUCGCAUACCUCCAGCAACGCUAUGGGAAGAAACAGACCUCAAGAAAUGGUCACUUUACUACUUGCUUUCAUGCUGAUCUAUUUCUUCUGAACAGAAUAACUCUAGGACUCAUUUAAACCCAUUAAGUAUAACAAAUUCCAUAAUUAAAGCAUAUAUAACUUCACCUAUUAAGAUUUAGAGAAGUGAAGAAACAACUAAUACUGUCUUGAAGCAUAAAAAUGUUUGUCUAAUUUAUUUAAACAAAAUUGGCCUCAAUAGAAAAUAAUUCACAAAAUAAUGCUUAUAAUGUAAUGAAGCUGAUUCUGCCACAAUACCAGAAAAUGUAUGUAUCAUUGUGAAAUUGUGUGAUGUUUUGCUAUUUAAUAUUUACAUUUUGUUUUAGUAUAUUGCAAUAGCUUAUGAAUCAUAUAAUAUCAUAUAAAUGAAAUUAACUAAUUUAAUUAUAAAAUAAGCAUGUAAACCUAAUUGUCUAUUCUGUCAUCUAUAUUUUUCCUUAUUGUAAACCAACUCUAGCCAUUCGUUGUAAUCUUUGGAAAUUACUUUGAAAACCUUUGAAUAAAUAAGGUCAUAUAAAACCAUACACCAAUAAACAUGUAUU